AACGAACGCUGGCGGCGCGCCUAAUACAUGCAAGUCGAGCGAGAAGGUGUAGCAAUACACUUGUAAAGCGGCGAACGGGUGAGGAAUACAUGGGUAAUCUACCAUCGAGUGGGGAAUAACCAACCGAAAGGUUGGCUAAUACCGCGUACGCCUCCGAGUCUUCGGGUUCGGAGGGAAAGCUGCACUGUGAGUGUAGCGCUCUUUGAUGAGCUCAUGUCCUAUCAGCUUGUUGGUAGGGUAACGGCCUACCAAGGCUUUGACGGGUAGCUGGUCUGAGAGGACGAUCAGCCACACUGGCACUGCGACACGGGCCAGACUCCUACGGGAGGCAGCAGUAAGGAAUAUUGCGCAAUGGGCGAAAGCCUGACGCAGCGACGCCGCGUGGGGAUGAAGGUCUUCGGAUUGUAAACCCCUUUCGGGAGGAAGAUGGAGCGAGCAAUCGUUCGGACGGUACCUCCAGAAGCAGCCACGGCCAACUUCG
rnacentral:rRNA from 1 species